rnacentral:rRNA from 1 species
AAUGAACGUUGGCGGCGUGGAUUAGGCAUGCAAGUCGUACGAGAAUCGUAGCAAUACGAGGAAAGUGGCGGAAGGGAGAGGAUUACGUGGGAAUCUACCCUCAGAACUGGGAUAGCGGCGGGAAACUGCCGGUAAUACCAGAUAAUGUCUGUGGACCAAAGGUGUGAUUCCGUCUGGGGAUGAGCCCACGUCCUAUUAGCUAGUUGGCAGGGUGAUGGCCUACCAAGGCAAUGAUGGGUAGCGGGUGUGAGAGCAUGACCCGCUUCACUGGGACUGAGAACUGCCCAGACACCUACGGGUGGCUGCAGUCGAGAAUCUUCGGCAAUGAGCGCAAGCUUGACCGAGCGACGCCGCGUGCGGGGUGAAGGCCUUCGGGUUGUAAACCGCUGUCGUAGGGGAGCAAGAGAUGAGGGUACUCCCUCUGAUUUGAGCGAUCCUAGGAGGAAGGACGGGCUAAGUUCGUGCCAGCCGCCGCAGUAAAAC